UACGUAGGGUGCAAGCGUUGUCCGGAAUUAUUGGGCGUAAAGAGCUCGUAGGCGGUUUGUUGCGUCGGCUGUGAAAACCUGAGGCUCAACCUCAGGCCUGCAGUCGAUACGAGCAGACUAGAGUGUUGCAGGGGAGACUGGAAUUCCUGGUGUAGCGGUGAAAUGCGCAGAUGUCAGGAGGAACACCGGUGGCAAAGGCGGGUCUCUGGGCAACAACUGACGCUGAGGAGCGAAAGCGUGGGGAGCGAACAGG
rnacentral:rRNA from 1 species